GGCUAACUCCGUGCCAGCAGCCGCGGUAAUACGGAGGGUGCGAGCGUUGAUCGGAAUUACUGGGCGUAAAGCGCAUGCAGGUGGUUUGUUAAGUCAGAUGUGAAAUCCCGGGGCUCAACCUCGGAAUAGCAUUUGAAACUGGCAGACUAGAGUUCUGUAGAGGGGGGUAGAAUUUCAGGUGUAGCGGUGAAAUGCGUAGAGAUCUGAAGGAAUACCGGUGGCGAAGGCGGCCCCCUGGACAGAUACUGACACUCAGAUGCGAAAGCGUGGGGAGCAAACAGGAUUAGAUACCCUGGUAGUCCAC
rnacentral:rRNA from 1 species